CCGGACACCUGUGCUGCCUGCUGCCACAGUUCCCUCCCAGUCAGGGCGGGGGGAGGCGGGGCCAGACCGGAUAGACCAGUGUGCCGCAUUCUUUUCCAACCUGGAGGCUUUUCUCAGGAACACAGAGAUCUUCUGUACACAUAUACACACAGGAAGAGAGGGGAAAGAACCAUGCCAGGAGGGAAACUCGGACAGUAGCUCUGACUCAGGUCUCUGUAUCUACACAUAUAGUAGGAGAGGAGUAUUGGAACCUUCCGGGCCAAAUUCAAAUAACUUGUUCCGUUGUUUUCCUGAGAAAGUGAGAAUUUGUUUCUCCUGGAUUCCCAGGGAGAUUAUUCCGGGACAUGCUUCCUGCCUCUGAACAGUUUGACUUGACUGGGCACGUCAUUGGAAUUCUGCUCUACAAAACUGGAAGUUCUGGAACUCUGGAAAAUGUAGAGUAGAGGCUGUUUGUGAUUGAAGAAAGUUGUCUAUUCACAGCAUAGCAAGGUUUUGUGUUGCCAAACGGGAUUACAGGAUAGCAGGGGUUAUAGCUAGAGCCCUCCUGGAGAGGGUAAGAAGAGCUAGGGGAUUUGUCCUCACAAAGGCCUUUUGUUCAUUGGAACCAGUAGAAGCGGACACAGUUUGGCAGGUUAGACAGCUGGAGGUGUAGAGAUGAUCCUUUUGUGACACUGAAUGGACAGACUGUACUGGGAUAGCCUUUCUACCUGGCUGGCUGACUACAUUUUAGUCAUUUAGUAGACACUAUUAUCCAGAGCGAUUUACAGGAGAAAUUAGGGUUAAAUACCUUGCUCAAGGGGCAAAUCAACAGAUUUUUCACCAAGUCGGCUCAGGGAAUCGAACCAACCUUUUGGUUACUGGCCCAACACUCUUAACGCUAGGCUACCUGCCGACCCAGAGUUCACUGCCCAAAGUACAUGCUACAGUGCAUUUAAGGGCUCUGUGAAAAUGGACAGUGUAAGUAAUAGCUCUGAGGUUCAGGGGAAGCAGCAAUCCAAUUUGUUCCGCAAUAAGAUCUCCACUAUGUUUACACAUGGGGACAAGACUGAGCCUCAGAGGCUGGCGGGGGAGACUGCGGUGCUGACGGCUUUCAGGACCCUGUCUGAUGAAGAGAACGAUCUCAUAGGGGUCAGUGAUCAAAGUACCCUGGAUGUUAUCAGUGAUGUGAGGGGUAUGAGUGUGGUACUUCAUAAAAGAGAGGACAGGAUUGAAUCAUGGGAGAAUGAGUCCAGUAGCUUUGUGACCUCUCCUAACGCCGGCCAGGUGUCUGUUUCCACGGCCGACCCAGGUCUGGUCCAGGUUACAAUGGUGGAGAUCUGUAGCGACACAGAGAUGGAAGAUGAGGAGGGGAUCAGCAGCCUCAGCCAAUCGGACAAGCCUGACGCCCCUGGAAUGUCCUUCCCACCUGACGUUGACCAGUGGACAGUGGCAGUGUUCGAUGAUAACAAGGGUCAGCUGCCACCCGUUGGCCCAGUGAGAGGUGCAAUUGAGACAGACUUAAAGCUGCCUGUGUAUAAGCCACAUAGUCUUGUGGAGGGAUCCCUCAAAGACACCUCUGUUCUGUACUCUGCAAGGUUUAUGGGCAGAUCUAACAGUGGGACAGACCUUGGACUGCUCUCCUCUGUCUCCAAAACACAAGUGCCUGGAGACGGCUGCAGCACUGACCUCUACACUGAUCCCAGGCCUGUGGAGGUGGGUGUGGAUGCAGCAGCCAUGGGUGCCAAGGGGUCCAGUUAUCAUCACCACAAAGUAGCCAAAGGCUUCAGCACCAGCCAGGAGGUAUUGGGCCUUACUGACAUGUGUGCUGGAGACAACUCUGCAGUGGCUUCACUUCUUAACUUGUCUCUCACCUCUGAACCCCAGACAUCAGAGGAAGCAGCAGACGACACUGCCUUGCAGUCAGGACAGCCAGAGGGCCAAGAUUCUGGACAGAGGAAGGAGAUUUUUGGGGAAAACACUGGAACUGAGGAGCAUAAAGAUCAUGUCCACUGCCUGGACUCCCCCUCCACCCUCUCUGAGUCAAAGCCACCUGAAGCAGCAGAGACAUCUUCUCCUAGCCUGGAGAAGCAGCCUGACACUGAAGUGAGAAAAUGUAUUUUAAGGACUGGUCUGGCCGUGUCGCGUGUUCCUGGAGAGUCCCCAACUGACAGCCAGCCAAGUGCCACUCCUGUCUCUGUCUCACCCAGGGGCCAAGGCGACAUGACUGUCAAAAGGAGGCCCGACACAGACUCACCCUCCGCCUCCCCCUCCAGUGGCACAGUCUCCUCCCAUGCCCCCUCCUUCCAGCUGCCUGCCCUGUUCAGUGGACUGCGGGUUCUGAGGAAAGGGGCUGUGGGGGAGGAGAGGGAGACAGUGUCUGAGAUCAAACAGAGAGACGCUGACCUGGCCCUUCUGAGCCUGAAGAAGACUGUCAACAAAGCCAAUAACUUCCCUGAGCAGAUCACCUCCAGUAGCCGCACCCCCAAGAAACGUCCUGAGCCCAAACAUGUGUCUGAGACCAAGAGUAAUCUCCUGGGGCAGCUCAGCCAGCUGCUCAACCUUGACGGGACCAAGGCCGAGGACAACCCGGACCCACUGCUAGAGCUCAGAGACAGGGAGCCUGAGAGGGGGGAGGAGGGGGCGACAGACCAGGGUCCAGAGCUGAUCCCCACCACCCCACCAGCAGGCAACAGGAGAGCCUCAGACACAACAUUAAACACUUUUAAGAGUCUCUUCAGCUCCAAACCUGCUAAAAGGGAUACAGCGGAUCCUGUGGAUUUAGAGGCUGUCAAGAAAAAAAAUAAAAGUGAGAAGGACCUGCUGAAAUCCAUCUUUGAGAGAACCUCCAAGUCUCCCAGCAGUGAGCAAAAAGGUCCAGCGGAGUCUAAAUCUGAGGUCACCUCCCCUACAGACAGUGAGGACCGGACCCCCGGGCGGCUCCAGGCCAUCUGGCCCCCGCCCAAGCCCAAGGAUGAGGAGGAGAAGGUGGGGCUCAGGUACACCGAGGCAGAGCACCAGGCUGCCCUCUUACAGCUGAAGAGAGAAUGCAAAGAGGAGGUGGAGAAAGUACAUGCAGACUUUGAGCUACAGAUCUUCCAGGUGCGAGGGGAGCAUGCUGUCGCCAUGUCCCAUCUGGAGGGAGUCAUCUGCAUGAUGCAGACAGACCGUCAACAGGCCUUCAGCCUGGGCCACGAGAGGGGCGAGCUCCGUGAGGCCUGCGUGUCCACCGAGGACGACCUGCCUCCCAAAACUUUUCGGAAUGUCUGCAUCCAGACAGACAGGGAGACCUUCCUCAGGACGCCCGAGGGUGAGGCCAGUCGGCCCAGUCUCGGCCCCAGUCAGAACGUGCCUAAGAAACUCAACCUGAGUCUGCAUGGAGGAGCCUCAGGAAUCCCCGGCCCACCUCCCCCGCCCCCUCCCCCCCUUCCUCCCUUCCCUGGCCAAUCAGGACCGCCUCCACCUCCUCCUCCUCCUCCACCUCCCCCGUUACCUGGCAACAUGGGGCCACCGCCUCCACCCCCCCUCCCAGGUUUUGGUCCCCCACCUCCCCCUCCCCCUCCUCCGGGGUUACCUGGAGCUGGUCCUCCCCUUCCUCCCCCUCCACCUGGGUGUGCCCCACCCCCUCCUCCUGGGGGUGGAUUAUUUGGGUUUGGGUUCGGCCAGGCAGCAGAGAAGGCCCCAAGGAAACCUGCGUUGGAACCUGCUACUCCCAUGAAGCCUCUAUACUGGACGAGGAUACAGAUCCAAGACAAUAAUAAUAAUACACUAUGGGGUUCUCUGGAGGAGCCAGACAUCGUAGACACCAAGGAGUUUGAGGACCUGUUCUCGAAGGCCACUCUGCAGCCAAAGAAGAAGCCCCUCUCAGACACCUUUGAGAAGAAGGCCAAGACUAAGAAGAUUAUCAAGCUGCUGGAUGGGAAACGUUCCCAAGCAGUAGGCAUCCUCAUCUCAAGUCUUCACCUUGAAAUGAAGGACAUUCAGAAAGCUGUUUUGAGUGUAGAUAACUCUGUGGUGGACUUGGAGACCAUCGAGGCUUUAUAUGAAAAUAGGGCCACGAAUGACGAGCUGGAGAAGAUAAAAACCCACUAUGAGAUGUCCAAGGAGGACGAGGUGAAGCUACUGGACAAGCCUGAACAGUUCUUGUAUGAACUCUCCCAGAUUCCAGACUUCUCUGGCCGGUCCCACUGCAUCAUAUUCCAGUCUAUCUUCCUUGACUGCAUAUCUUCCAUCCACCGCAAAGUAGAAAUAGUCUCCACCGUGAGCAAAAAUCUGCUGGACUGUAGCAGUGUGAAGGAUGUGAUGGGGCUGGUCCUAGCCUUUGGGAACUACAUGAACGGAGGCAACAGGACACGGGGUCAGGCUGAUGGCUUUGGCCUGGAGAUCCUGCCCAAACUGAAGGAUGUCAAGAGCAGGGACAACUGUAUCAGUCUGGUGGAUUACGUAGUUGCAUACUAUCUGCGCAAUUUUGACGAGCACGCAGGAACAGACAAGAGUAUAUUCCCACUGCCUGAGCCACAGGAUUUCUUCUUGGCAGCUCAGGUCAAAUUUGAAGACCUCACAAAGGACAUGAGGAAGCUGGGGAGAGACCUGACUGGUGAGACACAGUGUGUGAAAAGGCUGUUCAGAAGGUGUGUGCUAGCUCCUCUGAGAAGGACCUCCAGCCCUUCAAGGAGAAAAUGGAGGCCUUCGUCUCGACCGCUCAAAAGGACCACACUGCUGAGGAUGACAGGCUCAAUGCAGCACAGAAAAGCUUCCUGGACAUGGUGGGCUACUUUGGGCUCAAGCCAAAGUCUGGGGAGAAGGAGGUGGCCCCUGGUUACGUCUUCAUGCUCUGGUAUGAGUUCUGCAGUGACUUCAAGAACACGUGGAAACGGGAGUGUAAGAACAUCUCCAAGGAGAGGCUGAAGGAAGCGCAGGAGAACAUGAAAAAGAUCACUGCUGAGAAGAGGGUGGAAACCAAGAAGAUCAAUGCCAACAGUCUGAAAGAGAGACUGCGUCAGAAGGAAGCCAGCGUGUCCUCCAGCUGAAGAGGAUGACCAAUGAAGGACAGAGUGGAGAGAGGAAGUGGAGAGAGAUGGCAGAUGGGGAAAGUCUGCUGGCUUCACAACUUCUCGCCUUCACCACCUGCCUCUUACCCAACAACAUACCUCAUAUAGCCCUCCGUGCCCCCACGCUGUGGACCUCUCUACUACGGCCAAUUCUACCAUCCCUACUGACUGGACCAUCUCCACCACUCUCCAUGGGGCACCCCUCUUUCACCUCAACCUCGUUCCCAGAUGAGAGGCACCUUGUGUGGCUUCCAUCACUGUGUAUCCCUAGGACUACCAUCCAGACCACUUACACCAUGGGAAAUAGGAACCUGUCUGCCUGACACCCUGCUGUAGAUAUGCCGACUGCUAAGUCUAGGUAGGCCUCCUGACCCCUGACCACUAGGCUUCCUAGGCCUGCUGGAGCUGAGGACCUACAUUCAUUCCCCAGUCUGGGUUUCUUUAAGGACAGCAUCACACAUCUUGAUGACAUAAUCCAAUGCAUUGUAGCUAGGUUAUACAAACACAAUAAAUACAUCCAAAAUAAGGAGGAGGCCUCAUUGUUGUUGGGCUAUGUCCGCAGAUAUGGCUACCAGGUGAUGUUCACUCAGAGAAACUAUUACCAUUGAAUGAGUAAGACAUUCAGGAGUUGUUAUUCUAACAAUGAUUCAGAAUAUGAAAGCAAUGUACAAUGCUAUCGUGUGGAGAAUAGCUAUUCAUCUGCUGUGGCCCAUUUUUGGAAGUGUGUCUUGUGAAUGCCUUUCACAUGGCGUUUGUUUUCAUAUGAGCAGAGACUGAAACGUUUGACCUGAUGUUGUAUUAUGAAGAGAAUCAGUGGUCUUUAUUGGACUGCGAGUCCUGUUGAAGGCAUAGCGGUGUGGGUCCUGGUCAGAAGGUAGAAACUGGAUGUAACGGUGUUAACUUUCUCACUGCACCAGACUGACCCCUCCUGGGUGAUAGCCAGAGAAUGCCAGACCUUGGCAGCAAUGCUUUGCUCUCAUCCCCCGAGUCAGACAUCACGCUCUGAGAUGAACAAACAACCCUGCUAUAAGCUACGCUGAGAAAAGCAACAGGUCUUCUGAGUAUGGCUGCCCUGACACAUUUUUUAAGUGUAUAUGAUAGAAUCGUUAGUUGUUCCCAAUGAAUGUCGUUCAUGACAUAUGUAUGUCACAAUUCUAAGCACUUUCCUUCUUGCAUCAGCUGUAUUUAGUAGCUAAGCUACAUCCCCUGUUCUUCUCAGAAUGGUACUUAAUCAAAAUGUAUUGCACUUUUUUUACACCUCAGUUUAAACUCCUAUGCAAUUCUAUGGCUUGCGUGCUAUGAUAAGAACAUUUAUGAAUUAAUGUUGUAAUGAAAAUUGCAUCAUCCAUUUCGAGUUUUUAGAGAAAACUAUAUUAUAUUUAUUUAACAAAAUAUUUGUCAUUUAACUCUGGAAGAUUUAAACGUUGUUUUGGAAAACUCUAAAUGUGAAAGAUUUAUUUUAUGCCAAAACAUUAACUGUAAAAAAUACAGCCUCUUUGGGGCUGUAUUUUUGUGUAUUAAUUGUUUCCUACCCUUAGCUUGAGGAGGAUACAUGAAUGGCUCAGUAGUCAGGUGAAAGAUGUGUUUAGUUUAAUUUGGAUGUGACAUAUUAAGUAGAGCCUUAUUAAUUUACCCCAAAUGAUCUUGUUUCAUACCUGAUCCAAACUGAUAGGGAGAGUAUAAUUUGGCUAAAUAUAUUGCCUUUUGAUUUAUUUAAAUCAAGAACAUAUUUACUUUGUUUAAAAAAUAGAAACGAUUACUCAUAUCAAUCCAUGUGUAUACUUCACCCCUGUUAGAACCCAUUGAGUGUAAAAAAUAACAUCGUUGUUUCAUAAUCAUUGAAUGUGCCAUUAUUUUGCAUGAAGAGUUUUCACAAUCUUACAAUUGCAAAUUGUCUGUUUACUUUACACUUUUUUCAAAACCAAAUUAGUAGGCUAGAAGUUAAAUAUUAUGAAGGCCUAUCUAUAAUGUAAAUUGGUUCAUUUAGUUACAGGCCGAUAUAUGUUUCCACGUUUUUUUACAUGUUUAUCGUAAAAUAAAUCAUUUGCGCUAGGUCAAAGAAAUAGAUGACAGACACGACACACAUCACAACAUUUCAGUCACCAAAGUCUUAACUGAAGUCUAUAGAUGAGGAACUUUGCAGCUAUGGAAAUUAACUUUUAAAGCAUCCUUGUCAAUUGUUUCUCUACUUUCAGCACUCCCUAGUAGGCUUAACAUUCAGGCUCAGUAAUGAUGCAGUAACUAAAUAAAGGUGAAAAUAUGUUCAUUACAAUGACUCAAGUAGCCAAAUUGUUUCAUUAAUGUAUAUGAUUAAUUUAUGCUCCAUUAUUUAUUAAAUUGCACCUGUUCCUCU